AAUGCUAUUAUUUAGUCACCUGCUGUUAGUAACUCUGGGGGUCUGAUGGUAAUGUGGAAAGAUGAUCUUUUAAAAGUUGAUGAGAUCACCAUUACAAAUCAGGGAAUCCAUGCUCUAGUUAAGGUUGUUCAUGCACAAGCUGGGCCGUCCGGAACUAAAACAUAUAUACCGUGAGCAGAAUAGGGUGGCAGACUUAUUAGCUAAAGAAGGUGCUAAACAAAAGCUUUUUGGUGCCGUAAGGUCCAUGUAGUUUCUCCUUUUUUAGUGAAUAAGGCUUUUUGGGAUGACAAAACAAGAACUGUUUUUGAUAGAUAUGUAAAUUUUGAUGAUGUUCAAACAAUGGCGCAUCUGCCAGGGCAUGUAGGAUCCUUGUAGUGUGUGUGUUUGUGUGUGUAUA